CAGCACCUCAAGUGGUCAGGAUGAUUAUUGGGCCUAAAGCAUCCGUAGCCGGCUCUGUAAGUUUUCGGUUAAAUCUGUACGCUCAACGUACAGGCUGCCGGGAAUACUGCAGCGCUAGGGAGUGGGUGAGGUAGACGGUACUCGGUAGGAAGGGGUAAAAUCCUUUGAUCUAUUGAUGACCACCUGUGGCGAAGGCGGUCUACCAGAACACGUCCGACGGUGAGGGAUGAAAGCUGGGGGAGCAAACCGGAUUAGAUACCCGAGUAGUCC
rnacentral:rRNA from 1 species